rnacentral:lncRNA from 10 species
UAGGAGAAAAGUUGAAGCAAAGUGCAGAUUAUCAGGCUUAAGAUAAAUUAAGAAGCACUGGCACCUUCACUGAUCUUCAAACUAAGAACUGCCCAUAAAGUGGUGCUGCCGAGAUUGGAUUUCUCGUGCAUGCUCCCUCAGUGAUUUUUAUAUUUUAAUAAGACUGUUCAUUAUAGUUAGCUCCUCAUGUUGGAGCCAUUAGAUAUUUGUGGGAAAUAACAUAUCAUUAUCUCAGUUGCAUUCUGAGCCAUUUGGGAUGCUUUUAAGUUAGAAUGAUUUUUUUCUUGUCUUAAUUUUACACACACUAGUGCCUACAUGCCUGUUCAGCUUAUUUCUGUCUUCAGGUUCUUUGAUCCUAUUUUUCAACUUUAUUGUGUUAAAGUGGCUGAUGAACAGUGUCACUAACUGCUAGAUAGGAGUAGCCUCAAAUUCAGUUAAUUCAAAAAUGUACUGCCUUGAGAGAGGGGUUGAUAUUCUAAGUCCUUUAUUUAUUCCGUCUCUCUCUCUCACCUAAAAUUCCAUCAGGAAGCAUUCACACACAUCUCCGUAUCUCUUCAAAUUUAGCAUUAGGGAUCUAAGCAUGGAAACAAUGAUUUUGACAUUACAUGACCGUAAGAACCAAGGAUAUUAAGAGGAAUGCUUACAGCAUAUAAAGGCAAAAAGCAAACACAACAUACACUCGACAAUUAGUGAGCAAUCAAACCAAACGCAGAUCUAGUGCAACUGAGUAAUUUUCAGCGUUGAAAUGUGAACCUAUAGAAGGUUCUAAGUUAUAUUUCUGAUUUCCAUGUAAUAAAGUAUAUAUUAAGUUUAGAUUGGGAUUUAGCAAAGCUAUAUAGUUAUUCUUGUAACUAUUCAAGUUUGGGAUGGGGGGUGGAUAAAGAUUAACUAUGCAGCAAAAUCCUGUCUUCUCUCUUAUUCAUUAUUUGUUCACCAAAAAGAUCUAUGAUCUGAACUGUUUUAAAUUUUUAUUUGCUAUCCCAUCUGGUGUGGUGAGAACCCUCAUAGAAUCCAGAAGUUUUUAAACUCAUACAUGGUAUUUUAUUUCAUAUUCCUUCUUUAUGUUUAUUGUGAAGGGUAGCCUAGAAUUUACAUAUGUGCGUGUGUAAUCAUUCAUUUUAUUUAUCACUAAAUUGCCAGUGAGAGAAAUUUUAGGAUGUUGACUUCAUACACAGUUAACAUUCCCAUCUUCCU